GGGGAAGGCUGGCGGCGUGCUUAAGACAUGCAAGUCGAGCGGGGCAGGUUUUUCCUUGUUCCGCGGCGGACGGGUGAGUGGCGCUUGGUGGCCCUCCCCGGAAGAGCCGGCCACCCUGGGGAAACCCAGGCUAUUCCGCAAUGUGGUCCUGUCUUGUGGGGAAGGACUAAAGGGCCGCCCCGUUUCCGGAUGGGCCCGCGUCCCUUCAGCUAGUUGGUGGGGUAAAGGCCCCCCAAGGCGCCACCGGGUAGCCGGGCUGGGAGGUAUGCCGGGCACAGGGGCACUGGGGAAAGGGGCCCACUCCUACGGGAGGCAGCAGUUAGGAAUCUUCCGCAAUGGACGGAAGGCUGACGGAGCGAAGCCGCUGGGAGGAGGGAGCCCUUCGGGGUGUAAACUCCUGAACUGGGGACGAAAGCCCCGUGUAGGGGGAUGACGGUACCCAGGUAAUAGCGCCGGCCAACUCCGUG
rnacentral:rRNA from 1 species